AGAACAGGGGAGACAACAGGCCCAAAAUCUGCCCCAAAACAGGAUCGUGAGUGUGCUCAGCACCAACCUUUGCAUGAUUUGGAGGAUAUCGCCGGACCCAGCAAAGAGCCACCAGUCGACAGCACAUCCCCAGACACCAGAUAUGCUGAGGGUGAAGGAGUGCAAGAAAUCCAAGAUGAGCUUUUGGAGGCUGUUGUUUGCCCCAGCCACCAACUACCAGGAUGCACUAUUGGUCGGAUCAGUGCU